rnacentral:tRNA from 2 species
GCUGAUGUAGCUCAGUCGGUAGAGCGCAUCCUUGGUAAGGAUGAGGUCACCAGUUCGAAUCUGGUCAUCAGCUCCA